UACGUAGGGUGCGAGCGUUGUCCGGAAUUACUGGGCGUAAAGAGCUCGUAGGUGGUUUGUCGCGUUGUUCGUGAAAACUCACAGCUCAACUGUGGGCGUGCGGGCGAUACGGGCAGACUGGAGUACUGCAGGGGAGACUGGAAUUCCUGGUGUAGCGGUGGAAUGCGCAGAUAUCAGGAGGAACACCGGUGGCGAAGGCGGGUCUCUGGGCAGUAACUGACGCUGAGGAGCGAAAGCGUGGGGAGAGAACAGG
rnacentral:rRNA from 1 species